rnacentral:lncRNA from 1 species
GAAACAUUUUGAAGAUGCAUAAAGACAUGUCACGUAUGGGUGUGGAGCUCCUCUUCAUGUCCCAUGAAGCUGGGGCUGCUCACGGUGAGACAAGGAUGUUCGAAGGGUUGAUGUGAGCCAGAUCCUAUCAAGGGCAGAGCACCCCUGGGGCCUAGCAGGGGGCUGGGAGUCAGGGCAGGAGCCAGAAGCCACGGCCAGAGCUGAUGGAAACCAGGGAAGAAUGGGCAAAAUGGCAGGGAAAACCAACACCACCCCGCAUCACCCACACCAGAUUCCCCGUUACCACCAGAGGUCUACACUCUGGAAGAGAAGCGGGAUACAGACUGGCUGUCCAGAUUCUUCUCAUCACCAAUCAAAGUAUAGUGGCUGAAGAAUGGAUCCUUAUCUACAGAUGCCCUUGAGUCAUGGAUUUUCCUAUGGGAGAAAGAGAGAACAUGCCCACCCACAGACCCCAUCAGCCUGUGGACAUAUAUAAAAGGUCCACAGCUAACAUCAUACCCAAUGGUGGAAAACUAAAUGCAUUUCUUUUAAGAUCUGGAACAAGGUAAGAAUGUCUACUGUCAUCACUUCUAUUCAAUAUAGUCCUGGAAGUCCUAGCCAGAGAAAUUAGGCAAGAAAAAGAAAUAAAAGGCAUUAAAAUCAGAGAGAAAGAAGUAAAAUUAUUUCUGCAGAUGACAUGCUUUUAUAUGUACUAAACUUUUUUAAAAAAGAUUUUAUUUAUUUAUUCAUGAGAGACACAGAGAAAGAGAGAGAGAGAGGCAGACAUACAGGCAAAGGGAGAAGCAGGACCCAUGCAGGGAGGCUGAUGUGGGACUGGAUCCUGGGACUCCAGGAUCAUGCCCUGGGUCAAAGGCAGGUGCUAAACCGCUGAGCCACCCAGGGACCCCUGUAUUAAGCUUUAAACUACCCUGCACACAGAUACACACACACACACACACACACCUUUUAGAACUAAUAAAUGAAUUCAAUAAGGCUUCAGGAUAUAAAAUUAACACACAAAAUCAUUUGAAUUUCCAUACACCAACAGGAAUUUUCUAUUUCAUUUAGAAUAGCAUCAAAAAGAAUAAAAUACUUUGAAUAAAUUUAACCAAG